UACGGAGAGUGCAAGCGUUGUUCGGAUUCACUGGGCGUAAAGGGCACGUAGGCGGCUCGGCAAGUCAGUCGUGGAAUCCCGUCGCUUACCGGCGGAACGGCGGCUGAAAAUACCGGGCUCGAGGGCGUGAGGGGUCACUGGAACUCUUGGUGAAGCGGUGAAAUGCGUAGAUAUCAAGAGGAACGCCGGAGGCGAAAGCGAGUGACUGGCGCGUUCCUGACGCUGAGGUGCGAAAGCUAGGGGAGCAAACAGG
rnacentral:rRNA from 1 species